AUGAAUUAGCCAAUAAUCCAUUAACUCCUAAACCUGUUACUUCAAACACAGAACCAGCCUUAGGUUGCUGUUUCUUCUCUUCCUCUGAUAAUCCAUAACUCGACGUGUUUUUGGGUUCACGUUAAGCACCUAAAUAAGAUGUAUUUGCGAUAAUAUCGUAUUAUGAAUUAAAUCAAAUAAUUCAGAUGUGUUUUUAACUGUAUUAAUUAAUUUGUUAUCUUUACUUACAACAUGUCCAUUAAAAACGGCUAUCCAAAGAUUACCAUCUGUAUCUAUAGUCAUACCAUCGGGAACUCCUUCGAAACAGGCUCGUAAUCGUAUGCAGCUAUUUCACGUGUAGGCGAAUCAAUAUAAUAAAAUAUAUCAUCUUCUUUACUCCAUGCUAAUCCAUUGCUUAUAGAA
rnacentral:lncRNA from 1 species